GAUGAAGAACGCAGCGAAAUGCGAUAAGUAAUGUGAAUUGCAGAAUUCAGUGAAUCAUCGAAUCUUUGAACGCACAUUGCGCCCGCCAGUAUUCUGGCGGGCAUGCCUGUUCGAGCGUCAUUUCAACCAUCAAGCCCCCGGCUUGUGUUGGGGACCUGCGGCUGCCGCAGGCCCUGAAAACCAGUGGCGGGCUCGCUGUCACACCGAGCGUAGUAGAUUUUCAUCUCGCUCAGGGCGUGCUGCGGGUUCCGGCCGUAAAAAGCCUUAUUUACCCAAGGUUGACCUCGGAUCAGGUAGGAAGACCCGCCGAACUUAAGCAUAUCAAUAAGCGGAGGA
rnacentral:misc_RNA from 1 species